UACGUAGGGCGCAAGCGUUAUCCGGAAUUAUUGGGCGUAAAGAGCUCGUAGGCGGUUUGUCGCGUCUGCCGUGAAAGUCCGGGGCUCAACUCCGGAUCUGCGGUGGGUACGGGCAGACUAGAGUGAUGUAGGGGAGACUGGAAUUCCUGGUGUAGCGGUGAAAUGCGCAGAUAUCAGGAGGAACACCGAUGGCGAAGGCAGGUCUCUGGGCCGAUACUGACGCUGAGGAGCGAAAGCGUGGGAGCGAACAGG
rnacentral:rRNA from 1 species